rnacentral:misc_RNA from 1 species
CACGUUUUUCAUGUUCUUGCCAGAGUUCAUCAAAGGUCCACAUUUUGUCUCCAACAACAGUGGCUUUAAUUAGUCUUCUUGCACCAUUGGCUUCUGCUUCAUGAGCCUUUCUCUGGCCUUCUCAGCUUUAUCAGUUUCCAAGGAUUGAUACACAUAUAGGAGACUUGUUUCUUGUUUUAAGGUUGAAGGCUCAGGAUCCCUAUUAAUCCUAAUGAAAGCCUUGCUGGGUUCUGAAAAUAAAUUAACCAUUCAAUGUGGUUGAUCUGUGCUUAUCUUUUUUUAUAGUGCCAUAUUAAG